AUGUAGUAUUCUGGUAGCAAAGAUGUCGAAUAUUAUAACAGCAAGAGCAACUUGAAAUGGCACAUUCUGAACGUGCAUGCACAUUUUGGCGAAUGGCUUGGCUGGCCUCCAACUGGUGGCAAAUUUAUUUAUUUAUUUAAACAUACUGUUAACCCUCAUGUGAGGGUCAUUAAAGGGAGGGAAUACAUCACAAAUACAAAACUGAUAUGCAAGGAACUUUGACGCAUCAUCAAACUUCAACAAAA
rnacentral:lncRNA from 1 species